rnacentral:rRNA from 1 species
UACGAAGGGGGCUAGCGUUGUUCGGAAUUACUGGGCGUAAAGUGUGCGCAGGCGGCCGCGCAAGUCGAGUGUGAAAGCCCCGGGCUUAACUUGGGAAUUGCGCUCGAAACUACGUGGCUGGAGUGUGGCAGAGGAAGGUGGAAUUCCACGUGUAGCGGUGAAAUGCGUAGAGAUGUGGAGGAACACCAAUGGCGAAGGCAGCCUUCUGGGCCAACACUGACGCUCAUGCACGAAAGCGUGGGGAGCAAACAGG